GGCUGCAGGGUCAGGAUUUAAUUAAAACAUCAUAAAGAUGUCUUUGGGGAACUGGACACAAUAUUAUUCUGAAUGCAAUGCAGUAUUGCAGGAAAAAUGUGACUCUGUCUGCUUGUGCAUGCCCAGGGCACAAUUCAGGUGACCAAUAAAGACUAGCCAAAACAUAUAGGAUCGAGUAGAUGAUACAGAGAAAAAAUUGGAGAACAGUGUUUCCUUUCUACCCCAAACUAAGAACUGCUCUUGAUCCUUUCAAAGCAGUCUCCCUGUGAGAAAAGAAGAUGCUGUUAGCUGGAAUCAUACAAAGAAGAAAUUACAACAUUUGAAUGGAAAAUAAGGCAGAGUUGAUUCUUGAUUUCUCUGGUUACCACUGCAGAGGAAAAAUCAUUACACCUAAUUGCCUAAGCAAUUGCCUAAGCAGGGUGACGCCGGUGUGCGCGCACAGGCAAACACAGAGAAGCCUCUGGGGAAGGCGAGCAGUCAAGUGGGG